UACGUAGGGGGCUAGCCGUUGUCCGGAAUCAUUGGGCGUAAAGAGCGUGUAGGCGGCUUGUUAAGUCUUGCGUGAAAUCUCGGGGCUCAACCCCGAGCGGUCGUGAGAAACUGGCAGGCUAGAGUGCGGGAGAGGAGAGUGGAAUUCCUGGUGUAGCGGUGAAAUGCGCAGAUAUCAGGAAGAACACCCGUGGCGAAGGCGCUCUCUGGAACGCAACUGACGCUGAGACGCGAAAGCGUGGGGAGCAAACAGG
rnacentral:rRNA from 1 species